GGCUAAUUACUCAAAGGGACCCAGAGUGCCCAACCAGCCAUUUCUACAGGUCUGGCCCAACAGGGACCUUCUUUACCACACUCAGGGGGUUCUGCCCAGAGGAGGGUUCAGGGCAUGACCCUAGGGAGGCUGGGAGCCCCUGAGGAAACUUUGACCCAGGACAGGAGCUGACUGCAGCGUUCACUUCUUGGCUCUGGAUUCUGCAUUGACCCCAGGGCUUCUGGAUUUUGAUGGAGGUUUCUGACUGAACUGACCAAUGGCACUCUCAAUCACAGCAAUAUUUGAUUCACAGACUGAAAUUCUAACCUCCAACAACCUCACUGUGGGAUCAUACUUGGAACUGAGUCACUGCAGAUGUCGUUACUAAAGAUGAGGUCAUUCAGGAUAAGUGCCUGCCUCCGUAUCCAGUCUGCAGUUUAACCAUGACUGGACAAAAUAAGAUGUAGAAGAAAUGUUUAUUAUCCAACUCAGUCAGCAAAGAACUUGCUGGUGUCGUUGACAAAUGAGCCCAGCUCGGGCGUCAAUGCCAGUUGGCAUUUGUUUAUGCUAAUGAGCGAGCAGGGCUGAAGUGAACUGGUAAAGAUGUCUGCUGUAACUUCAUCUGCCCAGAAUACUAGUGGCCUCCUUGCUUCAUCCUAACACAGUUGGCAAAUAUUGGCGGCCUUUUCUCUCAAACGCCUUCAUUACUCACACGCGGUUGCUGAACGCAUUCACAACACUCGGCUGUUUGCUUGGCUUAGACAAUCAAUGAAACAGUGACUUCAGCCAUGAUUAGCCGUUACCCAUUUCUCUGGUGUAAAUACUCCUAACGAGCAACUUCAAGCUGCCACAGUAUGGAACUGGGAGACGGGCCGCACCACCACCACCACAUAGGAUUUCUAUCAGACACGAGAGAGAACCCAAACCCACGGCAUUCCUGAAUGUGUGACAGAGGCUCGCUUGACUGUCCUCCACAGUCUCCAGCUGAAAGCUCCUUGAUCUAGACCGCCUCUUCCAUGUCAGUGCCCAGAGCUGAGAGACCUCAUUAAGAUGACAAAAAUGAACAGUCCUCGUGUGCUGUUCUGUAAAAUUAGCUGAGAAUAGAACUGCUGGUCACCCAUGCUCUAAAAUCAGUUCUGAAGGC